rnacentral:rRNA from 1 species
AAUGAACGUUGGCGGCGUGGAUUAGGCAUGCAAGUCGAGCGAGAACCGUAGCAAUACGGGGACAGCGGCGAAAGGGAGAGUAAUACGUGGAUACCUACCCUCGGGGCCGGGAUAGCUGCGGGAAACUGCAGGUAAUACCGGAUAACAUCUCCGGAUCAAAAGGUGUGAUUCCGCCCGGGGAGGGGUCCGCGUCCUAUUAGCGAGUUGGCGAGGUAACGGCUCACCAAGGCGAAGAUGGGUACGGGGUGUGAGAGCAUGCCCCCGCUCACUGGGACUGAGACACUGCCCAGACACCUACGGGUGGCUGCAGUCGAGAAUCUUCGGCAAUGGGCGCAAGCCUGACCGAGCGACGCCGCGUGCGAGAUGAAGGCCUUCGGGUUGUAAAUCGCUGUCAGAGGGGAGGAAAUGCCAUAGGGUUCUCCUUAUGGUUUGACCUAGCCUCAGAGGAAGGAUGGGCUAACUCCGUGCCAGCAGCCGCGGUAAAAC